rnacentral:rRNA from 1 species
ACGAACGCUGGCGGCGUGCUUAACACAUGCAAGUCGAACGGUAAGGCCCUUCGGGGUACACGAGUGGCGAACGGGUGAGUAACACGUGGGUGAUCUGCCCUGCACUUUGGGAUAAGCCUGGGAAACUGGGUCUAAUACCGAAUAUGACUACAGGCUGCAUGGUCUGUGGUGGAAAGCUUUUGCGGUGUGGGAUGGGCCCGCGGCCUAUCAGCUUGUUGGUGGGGUGAUGGCCUACCAAGGCGACGACGGGUAGCCGGCCUGAGAGGGUGACCGGCCACACUGGGACUGAGAUACGGCCCAGACUCCUACGGGAGGCAGCAGUGGGGAAUAUUGCACAAUGGGCGCAAGCCUGAUGCAGCGACGCCGCGUGAGGGACGACGGCCUUCGGGUUGUAAACCUCUUUCAGCACAGACGAAGCGCAAGUGACGGUAUGUGCAGAAGAAGGACCGGCCAACUACGUG